AGAGUUUGAUCAUGGCUCAGGACGAACGCUGGCGGCGUGCUUAACACAUGCAAGUCGAACGAUGAACCUCCUUCGGGAGGGGAUUAGUGGCGAACGGGUGAGUAACACGUGGGCAACCUGCCCCGCACACUGGGAUAAGCCCUGGAAACGGGGUCUAAUACCGGAUAUGACUCAAGGUCGCAUGGUCUUGGGUGGAAAGCUCCGGCGGUGCGGGAUGGGCCCGCGGCCUAUCAGCUUGUUGGUGAGGUAACGGCUCACCAAGGCGACGACGGGUAGCCGGCCCGAGAGGGCGACCGGCCACACUGGGACUGAGACACGGCCCAGACUCCUACGGGAGGCAGCAGUGGGGAAUAUUGCACAAUGGGCGCAAGCCUGAUGCAGCGACGCCGCGUGAGGGAUGAAGGCCUUCGGGUUGUAAACCUCUUUCAGCAGGGAAGAAGCUCUUGAGUGACGGUACCUGCAGAAGAAGCGCCGGCUAACUACGUGCCAGCAGCCGCGGUAAUACGUAGGGCGCGAGCGUUGUCCGGAAUUAUUGGGCGUAAAGAGCUCGUAGGCGGCUUGUCGCGUCGGUUGUGAAAGCCCGGGGCUUAACUCCGGGUCUGCAGUCGAUACGGGCAGGCUAGAGUUCGGUAGGGGAGAUCGGAAUUCCUGGUGUAGCGGUGAAAUGCGCAGAUAUCAGGAGGAACACCGGUGGCGAAGGCGGAUCUCUGGGCCGAUACUGACGCUGAGGAGCGAAAGCGUGGGGAGCGAACAGGAUUAGAUACCCUGGUAGUCCACGCCGUAAACAGUGGGCACUAGGUGUGGGCGGCAUUCCACGUCGUCCGUGCCGUAGCUAACGCAUUAAGUGCCCCGCCUGGGGAGUACGGCCGCAAGGCUAAAACUCAAAGGAAUUGACGG
rnacentral:rRNA from 1 species